AAGUAAUGUGAAUUGCAGAAUUCAGUGAAUCAUCGAAUCUUUGAACGCACAUUGCGCCCCCUGGUAUUCCGGGGGGCAUGCCUGUUCGAGCGUCAUU
rnacentral:rRNA from 1 species